rnacentral:rRNA from 1 species
UACGUAGGGUGCGAGCGUUGUCCGGAAUUAUUGGGCGUAAAGAGCUUGUAGGUGGUUUGUCGCGUCUGCUGUGAAAAUCCGAGGCUCAACCUCGGACUUGCAGUGGGUACGGGCAGACUAGAGUGUGGUAGGGGAGACUGGAAUUCCUGGUGUAGCGGUGGAAUGCGCAGAUAUCAGGAGGAACACCGAUGGCGAAGGCAGGUCU